AUGACCGAUGCCAAGAUCCCCGAUGCGCAAUACGGCGUUGAAAAAGCGAUGACCUUCACGCUCGCCGCCCAUGCUGGCGCAAACCGGCUCUGCGAAUUUG
rfam:Roseobacter sp. SK209-2-6 1101232001821, whole genome shotgun sequence.